UCACAUUUUGCAAUUUGAAUUUAUGUCUCUGUGCUCUGAUUGGCUGAUUGACGGAAGUGGGGAUGCAUUCCCGCAUUUCCCUUCAUGCAAUUUACCAACAACACCACUCCAUUACUAUUUUACUUACUAGUGGUGAACAAGGUAUUUUUUUGUGAGUGCUACGUUCUUGAGGUUAAUUUACCAAUCGUGGUGUAUAUUUCCUUUUAGUUAGCUGGGGCGCAGCCCCAGCCUCCUGCCACGAACUGUACGGCACCCUAGCUCCAUAAAAAACACUAUUCCACGUGUCGAGUUCCACGUUUUCGAGUUUAAUUGGUCGUGGGGUAUGUUUCCUUUUAGUUAACUGGGGCGAAGCCCCAGCCACGCGCAACAUAGUUCCAUAAAAACCACUAUUCCACGUUUCGAGUUCCACGGUUUCGAGUUUAAUUGUUCGUGGGGUAUGUUUAUUUUUAGUUUGCUGGGGCGAAGCCCCAGCCUGUACCCUACGACCUGUACGCGCUGUAGCUCCAUAAAAAUCACUAUUCCACGUUUCGAGUUCAACAUUUUCGAGUUUAAUCGUCCGUGGGGUAUGUUUAUUUUUAGGUCGCUGGGGCGAAGCCCCAGCCUGUGGGCUAUCAUCUGUAGGCGCCAUUUACAGAAUGGAAAUGCUCCAUAAGAAAAAAGGCUCGAGAAAAUAAAUCAUUAAAUGAUGAAUGAAAAAAUGAAAAAAAUGAAAAUGAAAAACGAUUGUUAAAGUUAACUGGAAACGAGGCUGUGGAGGGGUUAACAGGCGUUGAAGAAAUUGGAAUUGGAUUUGCCGAUGCAAGAAAUGAAGAAAUAAAUGAAGUAAGGGAUGACGGAACAUAUGAAGUAAGGGAUGAAGAAACAAAUGAAGAAGAAAUUCUUAUCAGUAUAGAAAAUGAGGAUAAUGAUGUUCAAGGUCACACAAGAAGGCCUACAGCUAGAAUUAAGAAGCGCACUAGAAAAACAUCUAGUGAUGCGUUACUGAAGUCCUAUAUACAAGCCACAAAAAGCCAAUUUGAAGGGCUUGAAAAAAUAAGUGAUGCAUUAGAAGACAUUGCUAGAGCAAUUAAUCGGUUCUGUGACAUCACAGAAUCUAAAAAAUAAUAAUUUUUAUUUGUGUGUUCAUUUAUUCUCAAGAAUUAUAAUUUGAGUUAUUUAAUUACUAUUUCUUACUAUUCUUGGAUAUUUUGAGGUUGUGUUACACAUGAGCAGUUUGAACUAUAUUUAACUUUUUUACAAAAGAAAGAAAAAAUUUUUUUUACAUUAUGUGAAAAUUUAAAUAAAAUAACUAAUGCUGGAAGAAAAACUGUGCAACAGUGGCGUAAAACAUUUGAUAACUGGGUUAGAUAUGUUAAACGAAAAGUCAGAAAGAUAUUUGUCUACCGAUAUAUCACUGGUGGUGGUGGCGCUUUGUACGUUGUGCUGACGAAUUUGGAAGAAAGACUACGUCAUGUGCUGGGAAAUGUAAAUGUAAAUGGUUUUAAAAAUGUAAUCGAGUUGGGUUUAUGUGAAAGGAAAACAAAACUAAAGAAAAAGAUAUCUACUGAAAUUGGGUACAAAUGCAAACAACGGAACCGCCAUAAGUAUCGUCUUACAAAAAAACAAAAAGAAGCUGAAAAAAUGUAUUUAAACUAUUCCAAAUGUUUAACAAAUGCUACUUUUAAAAUUCUUAACGCCGUCAAACAUGUGAACCAAUCUCUUCAACGUUUAAUAAAUAUAUAUUCUUAAAAAUA